CCUACGGGAGACAGCAGUGAGGAAUAUUGGUCAAUGGGCUUACGCCUGAACCAGCCAAGUCGCGUGAGGGAAGACUGCCCUAUGGGUUGUAAACCUCUUUUGUCAGGGAGCAACGCCGGCUACGUGUAGCCGGACUGAGAGUACCUGAAGAAAAAGCAUCGGCUAACUCCGUGCCAGCAGCCGCGGUAAUACGGAGAAUGCGAGCGUUAUCCGGAUUUAUGGGGUUUACAGGGUGCGUAGGCGGAAUGCCAAGUCAGCGGUAAAAUCGCGGGGCUAAACCUCGCUCUGCAGUUGAAACUGGCGUUCUUGAGUGGGGGAGAAGUAUGCGGAAUGCGUGGUGUAGCGGUGAAAUGCAUAGAUAUCACGCAGAACUCCGAUUGCGAAGGCAGCAUACCGGCGCCCAACUGACGCUGAAGCACGAAAGCGUGGGUAUCGAACAGGAUUAGAUACCCCAGUAGUC
rnacentral:rRNA from 1 species